GGGCGUAAGGGAUGUAGGUUUGUCCCAAUUAUUUGUUCCACAAAUCCUAUGUGUCAAACACUUUUUUGUCACUGAAAAUUAAGUCCUGAACAGGGUGAAGAUGGAAUAUUCAGCCUUAUAGGGAAAGGUAAACCCGGGGAUGAGGGUGGAUUAUGUCAGGGAGCAAUAACUAAAGCCUGAAAUAGGUUACAGAGACUCAGAAAUCACAAGCACACAAUUACAAAAGCACAUAUUUUUCUCCUCUCUUUUGGUGUGUGUCCCUGAUGCCUUCUAAAUCGCACCCAUUGCCCACAGUUGUCUUCUACUGCAGAAGCCACAGCGGCCUUCUUGGGUUUUAAAGCUUGGCCUCUCAUCUCAGGCAUGUCUACUCAUCUUCCCAAAGUGAUAGUCAUGCCUGAGUGGUCGCUGUGUAGUCCACCUGUACUUCUGGACCCAGAUACGAGGCUGAGAAGCUUCUAAUGACUGUAUUCUGAAUCGGGGGACACCAACUGGGGGACAGAGAGCGGUGACCAACUGCCCUCUGCACAGGCUCCUUGUCAGCCUCCUGGGAGAGCUCGUCCGACGCUCGCUGGGCGAGGACUACAUAUCCCAGUUGCCAUUGCGGAGUACCGCACGACCACCUCCGGUAGAGACCGGAAGUCAGUGACGCUUCAACUCUAUCAGAGUCUCAGGUGGAAUUCGUGGUGGGUGUGGGGUGGCAGUGAGAUGUGAUCUGAGAAGGCUGCCGAGAGUGGGGUUCAGUCCUUCCACAAAUGAAGAACCAGGAAGAAGUGAAAGACAUAGGAAGAAAUCAAGUCGCUUAAAGCCGUGUCCCUGGGCUUAGUGAUUUUCACAAGUGUGGCCAUAAACUCCCAAGAUGAGUGAGGAUGGCCGAAUCUUGCCCAGAGGAGUUUGUACAGGAAGGUGAUACUGGACAACUACAGGAACCUGGUUGCAGUGGGUCUCUGCAUUUUUAAACCAGAUGUCAUCCUGUUACUGUAUCGAGAGGGAGCCGUGGACAUAAAAGGAGAGGCAUCCAUCCAGAGGUCCGGGCCCAGCAGAGAAUCGAUCCUGGGGAGAAACCCUAUGAAUGUAUUGAACGUGGGAGAGCUUCAGCCAGAGCACCCAUCUCGCUCAGCAUCAGAGAAUACACCCAGGAGGAAAACCCUUUGCAUGUGCUGGCUGUGGGAAGGCGAACACAGUGCUACCAAGGUCAGCUGUAUGGAGGUACAGGGUACAGGAGGACUUAUAAACUCCUCAUAAUCAGAGCUCUGGUUGCCAUGCAGAAGAUGUUAGGACAAGCCAUGCACAUUGGAAAUUUGGUUGGAGAAGAAAUGAGAGGGAGAAGAUUCUAAGCCCGAGGAGUAGCUCUGAGCAAGUUCUGUUUGGCCCUUCGAUCCUUCCAAUUCCUCCUGGAAGUGAGAAAAUAUUGACACUCAACAGUUUGAUGGGUUAGUCAGCAAAAGAAAAUGCUUCAAGGGAUGGUAUGAUGGCUCAGCAGAUAAAGACACUUGCUGCCAAUCCUGAUGACUUGAGUUCAAUCCCUGGGACGCACAUAGUGGAAGAAGAGAGCCAACCCUCUCAAGCUGUCCUCUGACCUCCGCAAUAUAAGUUAAAGGCAUUUAAAAGUGUUAAUGCUGCACCACAAGUGGGUUCUGCUCUCUGGGGCAUUUUAGGACAGGUUCCUUACAUCUUUGCUGCUGGACCACUCCUCAGGGACAUUCCUGGUGACCAAAUCCUUGUUUAUUCAGGCAUGUAGUCAUCCACUCAUCAGUUUUCAGCUUGUGGGUGGAUUUCAUUCCAGUGACUUGUCCUUAAAAAGCCUGCACAAUUUAAAACCAACGUAAUUCAAGACUAAUUCUGACAGAAAAUAGUAUGCCUGUUCUUCAUCAAAAGCAGUACAAAAGAUAACAAAGGAACUUAAAAAAAUAGUAUGGGUUACAUUUUAAAGUAUAGCUGCCUGAAGCAUUUUUAAAUUGCCAACUUUUAUCAUUAAAAAAUACCACUCAAAUGUUCAUAGUAA